UUACAAGAAAUCUGGAGAGGAGUCACGGUUUACUUAAUGCCUAAUAGGCCAUAAAUAAUCAAGUUUCCAGGCAGAAUGCGAAUUUUUAGUCUGAUUGAACUGCGUGAUGUCAAGCUGCCUGUCGCGUGGCAUUAAAAAUGUAAUAUCCUCUUCUGAACACGAGGGGGAGACAUUGACCCAUGUCGUCAUCAGAGAGCGACAGGGGCUACACCGGAAAGCUAUAAAAAGGAGAAGCUAACACGCCGCUGGCCCUUUUCUAAACGUGCUUCAUGUCUAACUAAGUAUGGUGUGGGCUCCAAAAUUAUUUUGCCAAACGUGUGUUAACGUUUUCUAAAGUUUGCUGCCCAUAUAGUUUUAGAUGGCUGAGAGAUGGAAGGUUCUACAAGGGUUGGAUGACUAAGUAUUAGUCAUUACUAAGAAAUACAGGUUGUUGGUGAGACUCCUCUGUGACGUGUGGAUUUCUAAGGAUUGGUAUGCCUUUUCAUUGUCCCUGGUGCUAAUUUGUAAAAUUUGUCAACUAGAUGUUUACUUUUGUGCUGAUUUCGCCUGUAAUGUCUCCUUUGACUGUCAAAAUAAACUUUAUUUUCUAA